rnacentral:rRNA from 1 species
CCUACGGGAGGCAGCAGUGAGGAAUAUUGGUCAAUGGGCGUAAGCCUGAACCAGCCAAGUCGCGUGAGGGAUGAAGGUUCUAUGGAUCGUAAACCUAUUUUAUAAGGGAAUAAAGUGCGGGACGUGUCCCGUUUUGUAUGUACCUUAUGAAUAAGUAUCGGCUAACUCCGUGCCCGCAGCCGCGGUAAUACGGAGGAUCCGAGCGUUAUCCGGAUUUAUUGGGUUUAAAGGGUGCGUAGGCGGCCUUUUAAGUCAGCGGUGAAAGUCUGUGGCUCAACCAUAGAAUUGUCGUUGAAACUGGUGGGCUUGAGUAUGUUUGAGGCAGGCGGAAUGCGUGGUGUAGCGGUGAAAUGCUUAGAUAUCACGCAGAACCCCGAUUGCGAAGGCAGCCUGCCAAGCCAUGACUGACGCUGAUGCACGAAAGCGUGGGGAUCAAACAGGAUUAGAUACCCUUGUAGUC